AACGAGGCCGACCUGCGGCUGAGUUACCUGCGGAAGGAUCAUUACAGAGUUGCAAAACUCCCUAAACCAUUGUGAACGUUACCUAAACCGUUGCUUCGGCGGGCGGCCCGGGUCCUUCCCGGCGCCCCUCGGCCCUCGCGGGCGCCCGCCGGAGGUAAACCAAACUAUUGCAUUGUAUGGCCUCUCUGAGUCUUCUGUACUGAAUAAGUCAAAACUUUCAGCAACGGAUCUCAGAUCGGA
rnacentral:misc_RNA from 1 species